GUACCACCUAACAUAGUACAUGUACCACCUUAACAUAGUACAUGUACCACCCAUAGUACAUGUACCACCUUAACAUAGUACAUGUACCACCUAACCUGGCCUCACCUAAGUGUGUACCGGUUAGCGUCUGUCCACAAUACAGUGAAGGUUGGCUGUCCAAGGUUCAAGUCUCGACUCAGGCACGCAGUUCUUUAUUUUCAUGUGGCAUCUGUUUCCAGGGUUAGCUACCUUGCCGUGAUGUAGUCUUAGUUGCCGUGAUAUAGCUUUAGUUGCUGACUUCCUUGUCGUGAUAUAGUUUUAGAUGCUGACUAGCUUGUCGUCAUAUAGUUUUAGUUGCUGGUUGUAUUGUCGUGAUAUAGCUUUAGUUGCUGGCUGUCUUGUGAUAUAGCCUUAGUUGCUGGUUGUCUUGUCGUGGUAUAGCCUUGACUGCUUACUUGGUGUAAAACCCCCCGCCUGGCCACGAUGUCCCUCCCAAACCAGUACUGCCUAACCUGGUGCCACCUACCUAGAGGCUGCAUGUCGCACACUGGUUUUCUCACUUUUUGCAGGUCUCUGGCUUGGCUGUCCGCAAAGCCGCAUUUCAACUCCUGCACGAUUCAUAGUGUUGACCGAGUCGUUAACUAUUGAUUAAUUUGUUAAUGCCAUUGAUUGGGAUUUCUGGUAGCGGCAGACACCCUGCCAGGUAGUUUUUCUGGUUAUAAAGCCGAACAAAAUAUGUUGCUAAUCAGAAGUGUGUGUGUGUGAGAGAUAAUGUGAAUAGAUGUAGGUAUAAAUGUGUUUUAUGUGUGUGUGUGUGUGUGCACGAGUGAAUGUAUAUGUGCGCGUGUGGCAGUCAGACGGUGUGGACGCAUGGUGAUGACUUAUUGAUAAGUGAAGGAUGACAGUAACUGAGGAAGACAGACAAGAGCAGGGUUAGGUGACAGCACAUAGGAUACAGCCAGUGGACAGCUGCCAGCCUUUAUCGAUCUGUACUCACUAGGAAGCUCUUGCAAUAAUCUUCAUUUGUUUCGCGGACAACAAAAAAACUUCAGCAUCACCUAUCCACUCAGCCUCGCACGCACGCGCGGCUAGGCUGUCAGACGUCAGCACCAUCACGGGUGCCCACCCGCUGUCGGAAAGGUACUAGCACGAUGACGGCAGUCGUCGUAGUCAUCGACGUACUUCUCAAAUCAUCGUCAGAAAUCUCCAGCCCGUCGUCUCGUUGGCGCCUGUGUGCGGCACGUGUCAGCUUUGAUGGUUUGGCAAGCCCCAGUGCGCAUGCGUGUUGGACUGGCAAGCUGAUGGCUGCGCACGCGCAGAGCUAGCGCCCACCGAAUAUCGAGGCGCGCAUCUUAAGAAAUUACAGUCGUGCGCAGAAAAAUCACUUUUUGUAACAUUUCAGGUGGCCGUAACUACACCAGCUGCGGCAGCGACUUUUGUGGUAGCCGACGCCUUCAUUGCAGUUUAGUGUCCGACACCGAGCGGCGUGCAAGUGCUUCAUUACACCCUGGUGCUGGUGCAGACAGGUGGCGCUGUGACAGAUGACUGACAGACGAGCCGGGGGCUGGUGUAGGCCCACCAUGCUGCUGAAGCUGGUAGCUGCCGUCGCUCUUCUCAGCGGAGGCGCAAACAGCCGGAGGUAUCGAUACUGCGGACAAGGCUGUUGUUUGCACGAAUACUGCGCCUACCACACCAUCUGCUAUCCCAAGAUCCACUGUCACCUGGGCUGUCCGACGGCACGUGCGAGCAGGGUACCUGCAUGCCCCUUGUCCCGUGCAACACUUCCACCCCGUGCUCGCUGGGACACGUGUGUGACUUCCACUUCAACCUGGGCUACCACACCUGCCAGUACAACCUGGACAUGGCAACACCUUGUGCGUGGACAGGGAGGGUCGCUCCAUCCUCAAGCCCCUGACAUGACGCAGAAACAGCCCCGCCCUGUUGGUUGGGGGAGGGAGGAAGAUGCCGUAGCUAUGGGGUGGGGGUGACACGAGGCUUUAGUCAACGUCCACGAUGCUCACGGCCUAACCACAGAGAAUACGUCAACAUGAGUCGCAUAACAACGCCACUUGUCAUGGCAGUCGGACACCGGAAGCAGCUGACCAUAGCAUUAUUAGUGGGUUUUUUAUAAAAAAAUGUGACACUAUACUUAUUCCAAGGGACAGCCGUGUUAAUCCAGGUAUUGAACGGGUACAUAACCCCGUAUAAGGUUUGGGAAAAGAAGACAGCGGGGAAGUGACAGCCUCACAAAAAUCGGACCCGAGAUACCGGACUUCCCAACGACCGAAAGGUCACGGGCUACGUUGACUAGACGCUCACCUAGCAAAGCCUAGCAGGACCACAACACCUUCCAGUAAUUUUUAGCGCGUGCGGUGUUCUGUAGACAACAAGCAGUCGAGUAGUUAGCGCACCCGACAAACUCAGUAUGAGGUCUUGUGGAGAAAGGCAAAACACAAGCAGCUGUCUAAUGUACAAAAUGUUUAACUCAGCUUUAUGUAAGUAGUGGUUGCUAACGCUACAUCAUGUUAAAUAAUAAACUGCGGCAAAGUGAAAA